rnacentral:tRNA from 1 species
GCGGAAGUGGCGGAACUUGGUAGACGCGCUGGACUUAGGAUCCAGUGGAGCAAUCCGUGGGGGUUCGAGUCCCCCCUUUCGCA